rnacentral:lncRNA from 1 species
AGCCAUAUUUUCCGCCCCUGUUAAGCUACUUUUCAACAGCAUUGUCUUUCUUUUUAAAAAACCAGGAGCGACAAGGGACAGUGUUUGACAAAUACUACUACUUCGAAAGUGAGCGAAAAGUUGACUUUUGCUGAUGUUAACGAAACCCGACCUUCACUGGACGAGUUUUGCCAACGCCACUAUGCAGAACAUAGAGGGACAAGUUACACAAAACCUUAUGACAAAAGACUGACUCUAGAUAAGUGCAUCAUCACAUGCAAAGUGCCUGAAAAACCAGGCCUACUAAUAAUCAACGACGCACCUGAUGGCACGAGAUGUAACGAUACCAGACCGCGCGCGAUCUGCAUCAACGGUAGAUGCACACGUGUUAAAGAUAAUCGUGUCGAGACAUUCGGAAACGAUGUUAAGGAUUCGACGAUUCAGCUGAAUUAGAGGACGUGCAGACAUGGCCACAGAUGUCAUAUCUCGAUAACUAAG